GAUGAACGCUGGCGGCGUGCCUAAUACAUGCAAGUCGAGCGAACAGACGAGGAGCUUGCUCCUUUGACGUUAGCGGCGGACGGGUGAGUAACACGUAGGUAACCUACCUAUAAGACUGGGAUAACUUCGGGAAACCGGAGCUAUUACGGAAAAAUUUUCCGACCCACAGGUUUCAAUGGUAAAAUUGGCUUUUUGUUUACCUAAUGGAUGACCCGGCGCCGUAUUAGCUAGUGGUUAGGGUAAGGGCUUACCAAGGCAACGAUACGUAGCCGACCUGAAAGGGUGAUCGGCCACACUGGAACUGAGACACGGUCCAGACUCCUACGGGAGGCAGCAGUAGGGAAUCUUCCGCAAUGGGCGAAAGCCUGACGGAGCAACGCCGCGUGAGUGAUGAAGGUCUUCGGAUCGGAAAACUCUGUUAUUAGGGAAGAACAAACGUGUAAGUAACUGUGCACGUCUUGACGGUACCUAAUCAGAAAGCCACGGCUAACUACGUG
rnacentral:rRNA from 1 species